rnacentral:rRNA from 1 species
CAAUAGCGUAUAUUUAAGUUGCUGCAGUUAAAAAGCUCGUAGUUGGAUUUCGGGUGGGAAUGGCCGGUCCGCCGUUUCGGUGUGCACUUGCUACGCCCACCUUGCUGCCGGGGACGUGCUCUUGAGUUCACGCUCGGGACACGGAGUCGGCGAGGUUACUUUGAGUAAAUUAGAGUGUUCAAAGCAGGCCUACGCUCUGAAUACAUUAGCAUGGAAUAACACGAUAGGACUCUGGCCUAUCUUGUUGGUCUGUAGGACCGGAGUAAUGAUUAAGAGGGACAGUCGGGGGCAUUCGUAUUUCAUUGUCAGAGGUGAAAUUCUUGGAUUUAUGAAAGACGAACUACAGCGAAAGCAUUUGCCAAGGAUGUUUUCAUUAA